GAAAUGCGAGAAGUAGUGUGAAUUGCAGAAUUCAGUGAAUCAUCGAAUCUUUGAACGCACAUUGCGCCCCUUGGUAUUCCAUGGGGCAUGCCUGUUCGAGCGUCAUCUACACCCUCAAGCUCUGCUUGGUGUUGGGCGUCUUUGUCCCGCCUCCGCGCGCGGACUCGCCCCAAAUUCAUUGGCAGCGGUCCUUGCCUCCUCUCGCGCAGCACAUUGCGCUUCUCGAGGUGUUGCGGCCCGCGUCCAGAAAGCAAUCGUUACCGUCUUUGACCUCGGAUCAGGUAGGGAUACCCGCUGAACUUAAGC
rnacentral:misc_RNA from 1 species